UAUUAAAGUUGUUGCAGUUAAAACGCUCGUAGUCGGAUUUCGGAGCGGCUUCGUCGGUCUGCCGAUGGGUAUGCACUGACGCGGGCGUCCUUCCUUCCGGAGACGCGUCCUACUCUUAGCUGAGCGGGGCGUGGAGACGGAUCGUUUACUUUGAAAAAAUCAGAGUGUUUCAAGCAGGCAACAUCGCUCUUGCAUGGAUUAGCGUGGGAUAAUGAAAUAGGACCUUGGUGCUAUUUUGUUGGUUUCGAGCACCGAAGUAAUGAUUAACAGGGACAGUCAGGGGCUCUCGUAUUCCGCCGAGAGAGGUGAAAUUCUCAGACCAGCGGAAGACGAACCACUGCGAAAGCAUUUGCCAGGGAUGUUUUCACUGAUCAAGAACGAAAGUUAGGGGAUCGAAGACGAUCAGAUACCGUCGUAGUCUUAACCAUAAACCAUGCCGACUAGGGAUUGGAGGAUGUCCACUUUUGACUUCUUCAGCACCUUACGGGAAACUAAAGUCUUUGGGUUCCGGGGGGAGUAUGGUCGCAAGGCUGAAACUUAAAGGAAUUGAC
rnacentral:rRNA from 1 species